GGCCUAACACAUGCAAGUCGAACGGUUAGUAGCAAUACUAAUAGUGGCGCACGGGUGCGUAACACGUAACUAACCUGCCCAAGACUGGGGGAUAGCCCGCCGAAAGGCGGAUUAAUACCGCAUAACACUUUUGAGUGGCAUCACUUGAUAGUUAAACCUGAGGGGGUCUUGGAUGGGGUUGCGGGUCAUUAGCUAGUUGGGUGGGUAACGGCUGCCCAAGGCGACGAUGACUAGGGGAGCUGAGAGGCUGGUCCCCCACACGGGCACUGAGAUACGGGCCCGACUCCUACGGGAGGCAGCAGUAGGGAAUAUUGGGCAAUGGGCGAGAGCCUGACCCAGCCAUGCCGCGUGCAGGAAGAAGGCUUUCUGAGUCGUAAACUGCUUUUGACAGGGAAGAAUAAGCUGGACGUGUCCAGUGAUGACGGUACCUGCAGAAUAAGCACCGGCUAACUCCGUGCCAGCAGCCGCGGUAAU
rnacentral:rRNA from 1 species